UACAGAGGAGCCAAGCGUUGUCCGGAUUGACUGGGCGUAAAGCGCACGCAGGCGGACGCGCGCGUGGGGUGUGAAAUCUGGCCGCUUAACGGCCAGGCGCCAUCCCAUACGGCGCGUCUGGAGCCUUGCAGAGGUCGGUGGAAUUGCCGGUGUAGUGGUGAAAUGCGUAGAGAUCGGCAGGAACACCCAGGGGGAAACCAGCCGACUGGGCAAGUCGCUGAC
rnacentral:rRNA from 1 species